CAAUAGCGUAUAUUAAAGUUGUUGCAGUUAAAAAGCUCGUAGUUGGAUUUCGGGGCAGCCUGGCUGGUCCGCCGCAAGGCGAGUACUGGUCAGCCGCCCUUCCUCUCGAAAGCCCCGACUGCUCUUCGUUGCAGUGGUCGGGUAGUUCGGGACGUUUACUUUGAAAAAAAUAGAGUGUUCAAGGCAGGCCUACGCCUGAAUACAUUAGCAUGGAAUAAUGGAAGAGGACCUCGGUCCUAUUUUGUUGGUUUCCAGGGCCGAAGUAAUGAUUAAGAGGGACAGUUGGGGGCAUUCGUAUUUAAUUGUCAGAGGUGAAAUUCUCGGAUUUAUGAAAGACGAACAACUGCGAAAGCAUUUGCCAAGGAUGUUUUCAUUAA
rnacentral:rRNA from 1 species